rnacentral:rRNA from 1 species
GUUGUAUGGUUAAGUGACUAAGCGUACACGGUGGAUGCCUUGGCAGUCAGAGGCGAUGAAGGACGUACUAACUUGCGAUAAGCGGUGAUGAGGCAGUAAGAGCCACUUGAGUCACCGAUUUCCGAAUGGGGAAACCCACUUACAUAAGUAAGUAUCGCUGCAUGAAUACAUAGUGCAGCGAAGCGAACCGGGAGAACUGAAACAUCUAAGUACCCCGAGGAAAAGAAAUCAACCGAGAUUCCGAAAGUAGCGGCGAGCGAAAUUGGAUUAGCCCUUAAGCUUUACAUGCGUUAGACGAAUGGUCUGGAAAGGCCAACGAUACCGGGUGAUAGUCCCGUAGUUAUAGGCGCAUGUUCAGUGAAAUCGAGUAGGGCGGGACACGUGUUAUCCUGUCUGAAUAUGGGGGGACCAUCCUCCAAGGCUAAAUACUCCUGACUGACCGAUAGUGAACCAGUACCGUGAGGGAAAGGCGAAAAGAACCCCUGUGAGGGGAGUGAAAUAGAACCUGAAACCGUGUACGUACAAGCAGUAGGAGCACCUUCGUGGUGUGACUGCGUACCUUUUGUAUAAUGGGUCAGCGACUUAAUGUUAGUAGCAAGGUUAACCGUAUAGGGGAGCCGUAGGGAAACCGAGUCUUAACUGGGCGUAUAGUUGCUAGCAUUAGACCCGAAACCGAGUGAUCUAGCCAUGGGCAGGUUGAAGGUUGAGUAACAUCAACUGGAGGACCGAACCGACUAAUGUUGAAAAAUUAGCGGAUGACUUGUGGCUAGGGGUGAAAGGCCAAUCAAACUCGGAGAUAGCUGGUUCUCCCCGAAAGCUAUUUAGGUAGCGCCUCGGACGAAUACUACUGGGGGUAGAGCACUGUUAAGGCUAGGGGGUCAUCCCGACUUACCAACCCUUUGCAAACUCCGAAUACCAGUAAGUACUAUCCGGGAGACACACGGCGGGUGCUAACGUCCGUCGUGGAGAGGGAAACAACCCAGACCGCCAGCUAAGGUCCCAAAUUACAGCUAAGUGGGAAACGAUGUGGGAAGGCUUAGACAGCUAGGAUGUUGGCUUAGAAGCAGCCAUCAUUUAAAGAAAGCGUAAUAGCUCACUAGUCGAGUCGGCCUGCGCGGAAGAUGUAACGGGGCUAAGUUGUAAACCGAAGCUGCGGCAAUGUUCUUGGAACAUUGGGUAGGGGAGCGUUCUGUAAGCCGUUGAAGGUGUGUUGUAAAGCAUGCUGGAGGUAUCAGAAGUGCGAAUGCUGACAUGAGUAACGACAA